CCCCCUGAAACCCAGCACUGGACACCCCGAAUCCAGCCCUGCUUUCUCAAAAUCCAUCCACAAACCCAAAACCACAUCCCUGGUCCCCCCAAAAUGGAUCCAAGCCCCCCCCCCAACCCAUCCCAGCCCCCUGAAAACCCACUUCCAGCCUCCUAAACCCUUUCCCUGGUCCUCUGAAACCCAUCCAAGUCCCCCAUGACCCAUAUGCAGCCCCCAAAACCAUUUUCCAGUCCUCCAAAGCCAAUCCCUUGUCCCUCAAACCCAUCCAAGCCCCCCAAAAUCUCUCCCUAGUCUCCCAAAACCCCUCCGAACCCCACAAUAUCCAUCCCCACCUCCCAAGUUCCAGCCCAACAUAAACCAUCCCCAGUCCUGCUGAAAUCCACCUCUGUUCCCUUAAAACACAGCCUACCCCCCCACACACACCUACUUCCAGCCCCAGAAAACCCCUCCCUGUUCCCCUAAACCCUAUGUCCAAGCCCCAUAGACAUUCUCAUGACUUUUUUGGACAUUAAUAUUUAUUCUGACCAAGCCAAGAGCACUACCCCCCACACUUUCCCUGCUUAACAGUAACACCUGGAAAAUAGGCCAGGCAAGAACAGGGAGGGGUAGGCAAGUCAAGGCAGAGGAUGGGUAUGGAAGGCAAUGCAAGGAAGGGAGAGAUGGGCAGAGAGAGGCAAGGCAAGCCAGAGGAUGGCCAGGAAGAGUUAGGCAAGGCAGGGGAGGGGUAGGCAAGGCAAUGGAAGUCAAACAAGGGCAGGUAAAGCAAAUAAAGGCCAGGCAAGAAAGGGGCAGUUAAGUAGAGGUGGUAUGUAAGGUAAUGCAAGGGAGGUGUAGAAAGGAAAACAGCUAGGCCCAGUGUUUCAGGUGCAGAGGACAGGGUACCCAGGGGACAUAAAGACCAGCCCCAGCUUUCUGUUCUGGUACCUCUGGUGUAGAAAAUCCAAGGUGUAUACAGUUUUUGAGGAUUGGCUCCAAAUUUCUAGGGUGGGGUUCAGGAAGUGAAUCACUAGAGUGUCUUUCCUUGGGAAGCAAAGGAUGUAGUCCCACUGUUUGUGGUACUGUGGGGAGCUAAACAGCAGCAAGACAGUUCUCUCCUGGCCCCCUUUGUGUAGGAGCAAUUCUUGGAUGUUGGCAAUAUUGGAGAUGGUAUCCGACUUUUGGGUCUGGACUCCUGAAAGUGUGUCCCAGUGCUUUUACUUGGGGAGGAAGGCAGGUAAUCCCAGUGCUUCAGGUGCAGGUCAGAGGCUGCAGCAGCCAGGAGCAGCUUUCUGUCCUGGGAUAUUUUGUGUGGGAUCAAUCCCCCGACGAUUGCAACGAUCGAGUGGGGAUCCAAAUUCUGGAGUUAACCUUCUGCAAAGGGAUCACAGUGCUCUUCAUAAAAACACAUAGUCCUGGGGCUUGUGCUGCAAAGAAUUGGGUGCCCAGGGAAUGAAAGGGACAGCAACAGUUUUUCUAUCUGGCACCUUUGGUGUGGGAGCAACCUCCCAACAUCUUCAGUUUGUCAGGUGGUCUUCUGCAAUGUUUGGCAGUCUGCUUACCAUGGGCAAGAUUGAGGUUAUGGAGCUGGGCUCAGCAAGAGGAAAAAUGCAAAGGGUGCAUGCAGCUG